GUGCUGGCUGUCCCUGGUGACAGACUGCAGCCCAGCCAUAGCCUGGGGGAGGGAGUGGGUUGCAGCAGAUGUGCACAUCUGGAUCACCUGCCCCUAACCCAGCACACUCCAACUUCUCCAUGGCUUUGGCUUCCACAGGACAUUUCUCGGGGUGGCCUCCUCUCUGAGGGCAGUGUGAGCUGAAAUGAAACCAAACCAAUCACUACUGAAGAAGAAAUGCAACUGACUCCAGCCUUAGUCUUCCUGCCAUGUCAAGACAUAGCAAGAAGGUAGCAGUCUGCAAGCCAGGAAGAAAGCCUUCACCAGAACCCAAUCAUGCUGCACUCUGAUCUCAGAUUUCUACUCUCCAGAAUUGUGAGAAAAUAAAUUUCUGUUGUUUAAACCACC
rnacentral:lncRNA from 1 species